rnacentral:rRNA from 1 species
UACAGAGGCCCCAAGCAUUAUCCGGAAUCACUGGGCGUAAAGGGUGUGCAGGCGGUUUUAUUAGUCUUUCGUGAAAGCUCUCGGACUCAAUCCGGGAAACGCGGGGGAAACGGUAAAACUAAGAGGACGCGAGGAGGUAGAGGGAACUCAUGGAGUGUAGGGGUGAAAUCCGUUGAUAUCAUGGGGAACACCAAAUGCGAAGGCACUCUACUGGCGCGCUCCUGACGCUCAGACACGAAAGCGUGGGAAUCGA